GGGGCAUUAGCUCAGUUGGUAGAGUGCUUGCAUGGCAUGCAAGAUGUCAGCGGUUCAAGUCCGCUAUGCUCCAC
rnacentral:tRNA from 1 species